ACAAACUGAAAGAAAGUGAAACAAAUCACCACAUAUUCGUUCAUUACCCUCAAAAAGCAAAUCCAUUCUCUCAAUCUCUCUCUAAAUGCAAACAAGCCAUGGCUUCAAAAAAUCAACAAAACUCUCACCUUUCUCGUUGGUUUUUCAGACGGAUCCUCUUCACUGUGAAUCUCCUGCUCCCACGAACUUCUAUGCUUCGUAACUCGCUAGUGGUCGCCGAAAGCCGUCAACGGCAGAAGGGUUUGUUGUGUGCGAAGCUGACCGUGAGCGCGAGGUUAACGAUCCUUGGGAUUCCGUGGUCGCGACCUGGUGGAGGAGGCCGCUCUUUCUUUUUCGGUGGAAAGGGUUUUGAACUGGUUCCUCAGAUCAAAAGGGGCAACCUGCGAAAUCCUUUAGGGCGCUCAGCUUGCAUCGGUCCAUUUGGAUGUUUGGAUUUGGAAAAGUGAAUUCGGAGUAUUCAUGAGUAACUUCGGUUCUUGGGUGGCUUGUGAGAGGAUUAUCAACUGUCAAUUUCAAGCUUGUGAUCAAUUAUCCGGAAAAUCCUAGCAAAUGCAACCCUCGCCUUCGUAAACGCAGCCAUGGUAGGUGCAGAUUGCCUUAGAUGUUCCUUAAUCUUUUGAUCAAUUGAACUGUGUUUGUUGCUCUUCAAACUGCAGGCAGUAGGACCUCACAUUUGCCUUGUGUUUGUAACCUGAAUUAUGCUUGCUAUCUUUACAUUUGAAACAGUUGAUUAUUUGACUCAUGCGAAUUUAUUUUGAUUGUUUCAAUGAAGUAAUUGCAGUUUCCAGUUCAAUCAAUUUCCUUGGAGAACUAUACAUUUGACUUCAGCUUCUUCAUUUGAUAAAAACAGUCUUUCCCCGUCUCUACAAAUACUUUCCAACAACUGCCCCAACCUUACGACCUCAAGCCAACACUCACUUUCACGCAAGCAAACUCACUGUGCUGAGAUAAGCUCAUUAAUCGCCACUGAGUUGAAGGGAGCACGGGAAAGUUCAAGAAUGAAAGGGGGUUUGCUGAACUGAAACCUCUUAUCCUACCAGAACAGAUUGCUACUGAUGGUGCUAAGACAUUGCUGAGGAUCAGUAUCCAUUUGUCCUACUAAAACAGUGCUGUAAAAGAUGGAAAAAAGGACUGGGUGGUUUUUACUUUUCAAUUAUAGAUGAAAAUGAUAUUGAUCUUGUAUGUUUUCAACUUUGAUCGUAUAAUUGUGUGUGAAAUCUUAUUUGUAAGCCCAUGAAUCGAACAGGUCAAAUGUGCAAGUACUGCAUGAAGAUCUUCAGACUUCAACACGAGCUUGCGAUAUUAACAUGAGAUUGUAAUAUGUAGCUUCGUCAAGCCCAUAGAGAGCAUCAAUCAAGUGCAUCCGUAACGACGCAGGAUCUUUAGCCAUCUUCAUUCCUAACUCGCCGGCAACACCAAACACAGCUAGUGUCGAUACUGCCGCAUCAAAAGCAUGGCUUUUGUCAACUGCAACAAAGGCAGCAAAGAAUAAGUGGUCACGUGUGAGCUUCUUUGCUUUUUGUAGUGAGGUCACUGGUUGUAAUUUUGGUGAAAUUUGUUGGAUAGUUGGAAGUUCGGUCUCACGAGCAAGGCGUUCUGCAGCAUCCAAUGCAUUGCCGGUUUGAGUUUGUUUGAGUUUUAAAUCUCUUGAACUUGGCUCUCAUUCUAGUGUGGACCUCUCUCUUAUUGGAAGUGUGAGUGAUGGAUUACUCCGGCUAUAACUCUUGUUGGAAAUGUGAGUGAUGGAUUACUCCGGCUAUAACUAUCGUAGUGUAAACAUUGGCACAACAACUUUCUAUCUCACAGUAAGGUAUACAAAUCUAGAAGAUUGGCCAACGGUGUAGAAGUCUCCAAGGUCUCCUUUGCAAACCUCUGCUGCUUAAAAACCGGAAAUGCCUCCAGUAUUACCGUAUUCAAUAGUCGAAAUGCCAAUUUAAUGAGAACAACUCUUGUAUCUGCUGUGGCGAAGAACGUUGUAAUCCGGAAGUCUGCUUCAACAAACUUGCUAGCUAAGUUGCUGUCUUGAAAUGAGAGACUAGGCCUUGAAGAUGGGGGGUUAUUAUGGUAUGCUGCAAACUUGUUUUUUUUUGUGAAUUUUGAAAAUUAAACUUGUGCUUCUUUAUUGGUUUCAGGUGACACCGUAACUGCAAGUGCAUCAUCCUGAAUUUUGGGUGACGGCGGUUAGAAGAAACGCAGAAUUGGCAUGGCUUUGAGAUGCAAAGAAAUAGCGUUUAGAGAAGGUUCUACGUUGUGAUUAGCAGAUAGUUUGUCGAUUUUGCUUUCAUCAUCAUGUAAAAACAACAGUUUUGUGAAAUCCUGUCAUAAUUAUAUACAAAUCAUUCCAUUUUUUUUUUGA